GAAAAAUCAUCAGUAGCUAAAAUGAUCAGCUUCUUCAGAGCUUUCUUUCUUAUAAUAAUUAUCAGCUUUCUCAUUUUCGUAGGAGCUCAAGCAAGAACUUUACUAGGAAAUUACCAUGAUGAUGAGAUGCUGAUAGAGUUGAAGUUGGAAAGUGGUAAUUAUGGAAGGACACCAUAUAAGACACCUCCACCACCAACAUCAUCUUCACCAACACAUCAAGAAAUAGUUAAUGGAAGACAUGAUAGUGUAUUACCACCUCCUUCUCCCAAGACUGAUCCAAUUAUUGGUCAACUCACAACAAUUACUACUACUCCUCAUCAUGACGACACCGUCGCGGCGCCGCCUGUUGGUGGGAGGCACGAUUAUGUAGCCUCACCACCACCACCAAAGCCACAAGAUGAACAAAGGCAGAUCAUUAUCACAUCCUCUUCUUCUACUUUGCCUCUUCAAGCUUCCUAUUAAGCUAGCAUCGGAACUUUAUAAUAUAAUAUAUGUUCACUACUAAGUGUAGUAUUUUUUAUUUUAUGUUAUUAAAGUAGCUACAUGUAUAAUCUGGUUUUAGUUCACUUGAUGAGUUAAUUAACUCAAGAAUAAUAUGUGUAAUAGACGUAUUGUAAUGGAGUAUUAACAACGUAUGUACGUAGUAAAUGAAUUUGAGGGAGUGAUAUGUGGUUUUUAACUUAUUA
rnacentral:misc_RNA from 1 species